AGAGAGAGACAUGCGCGCAUAUCAAUAAGCGGAGGAAAAGAAACUAACAAGGAUUCCCUUAGUAACGGCGAGUGAAAGCGGGAAGAGCUCAAAUUUGAAAUCUUCAAGGUUUUACCUUGACGAAUUGUAGUUUAAAGAAGUGUUUUCUGCUGAAGUUUUGGUAAAAGUUCUUUGGAAUAGGACAUCAUAGAGGGUGAGAAUCCCGUAUUUGACCAUUAUUUUCAGCUUUGUGAUACACUUUCAAAGAGUCGGAUUGUUUGGGAAUGCAGUCCAAAAUGGGUGGUAAAUUUCAUCUAAAGCUAAAUAUUGGCGAGAGACCGAUAGCGAACAAGUACCGUGAGGGAAAGAUGAAAAGAACUUUGAAAAGAGAGUUAAACAGUACGUGAAAUUGUCAAAAGGGAAGCGUUUGACACCAGUGUUGUUUUCUCGAAAAUCAAUUAAAAAUGGCUCGAUUUUGUAUUGCUUGAGACCUUAAAAGCUCACUGUACAUUUUUCGUGUCUUUUUUAAUGCACUUUUCGUUUAACAAGUCAACAUCAGUUUCUUUUGUUGUAAAAGGGUCAUUGGAAGGUGGCUUUCUUUUCGGAGAAGGUGUUUAUAGCCUUUGGCCUCUGCAAUCGAAGAGACUGAGGUCUGCAGCGUAGACUCUUCGGGGUUAGAUACAUUUGUGCUAAGUUAUAGCUUUUUAUAGACAACUUGUUGACUAUAAUUAGUCUUGUAGCUUACUCGCUUAUGCUAUUUUACCUACGCUUAGGAUGUUGAAGAUGUAGCACAUCAU
rnacentral:rRNA from 1 species